rnacentral:lncRNA from 1 species
UUAGUACAUAAACAUAAUCAUAACCUAAUCUUCUUCAGUAGACUAUGACUAUUGCAAAAAUAUUUUAAGUAUCAACUGUAUUCUUAACUGCAAAGAACAGGGUAGAUUCUUACUGUGUCUGUGUCAAAUCAAUCCAUCGGUGUUAAUUCUACAAAUUACCCAAUGGUUCACGUGUAUGUUUGGUUUGUGUUAACACUUUGAGAAACACUAAAUAAUUAUUUUUGUUUAUGUUUUGUUUUUAAAUAGGAAGUUGAAAAAUCUGGAUUAAAAUUACAUCACUUGGUUUUAUAAAGUCAUGAAUUACAUCAGAUGAAAUAAUACAGCAGCUGAGUGUAGAAUGCAGAUGAAACAAUUUCCCUGCAGAGGACACUCCACUAUCAUUUCCAAACCCAACAGGUAGUCAGAGGAGUGACUGUAACUACAGCACUGAUAAAUUAGCAAAGGAAAAUAUCUAGCCAGUGUGUUGAUAAUUCUCCUAUAAAUACUUGGAUAUUUUUAAUAAUGAUUUUACCAGCCUAAGGUGAAAGUAAGUGCUCAGUGACACCCCAGAAGAUGAGCAGGAACUUGAAUGUAAAGAUACUGAUUUUGUUGAAUCUGUUUGAAAAAGAUAUUCCAGAAGCAAAGAAAUACCCUUGAACAAGACAUUGAUGGCCAUUGGAGAGCGUGUUUGUAGUGCUCUUAAGAAGACUCAAGAAGGUUACUCAGUCUUCUCACAGACAGUGAAGGAAAGUAUUCUCCUUGCUUAGAGUUUCCUG